UGAGUACUCCCUCCGUUCGGAAUUACUUGUCGUAGAAAUGAAUGUAUUUAGAUGUAUUUUAGUUCUAGAUACAUUCAUUUCCCAGACAAGUAAUUUCGAAUGGAGGGAGUACAUC
rnacentral:pre_miRNA from 1 species